GCAGUCGAGCGACAGAUAGGAGCUUGCUCCUUUGACGUUAGCGGCGGACGGGUGAGUAACACGUGGGUAACCUACCUAUAAGACUGGAAUAACUCCGGGAAACCGGGGCUAAUGCCGGAUAACAUUUAGAACCGCAUGGUUCUAAAGUGAAAGAUGGUUUUGCUAUCACUUAUAGAUGGACCCGCGCCGUAUUAGCUAGUUGGUAAGGUAACGGCUUACCAAGGCAACGAUACGUAGCCGACCUGAGAGGGUGAUCGGCCACACUGGAACUGAGACACGGUCCAGACUCCUACGGGAGGCAGCAGUAGGGAAUCUUCCGCAAUGGGCGAAAGCCUGACGGAGCAACGCCGCGUGAGUGAUGAAGGUCUUCGGAUCGUAAAACUCUGUUAUUAGGGAAGAACAAAUGUGUAAGUAACUGUGCACGUCUUGACGGUACCUAAUCAGAAAGCCACGGCUAACUACGUGCCAGCAGCCGCGGUAAUACGUAGGUGGCAAGCGUUAUCCGGAAUUAUUGGGCGUAAAGCGCGCGUAGGCGGUUUCUUAAGUCUGAUGUGAAAGCCCACGGCUCAACCGUGGAGGGUCAUUGGAAACUGGGAAACUUGAGUGCAGAAGAGGAAAGUGGAAUUCCAUGUGUAGCGGUGAAAUGCGCAGAGAUAUGGAGGAACACCAGUGGCGAAGGCGACUUUCUGGUCUGUAACUGACGCUGAUGUGCGAAAGCGUGGGGGAUCAA
rnacentral:rRNA from 1 species